GAUGAACGCUGGCGGCGUGCCUAAUACAUGCAAGUCGAGCGAACGGACGAGAAGCUUGCGUCUCUGAUGUUAGCGGCGGACGGGUGAGUAACACGUGGAUAACCUACCUAUAAGACUGGGAUAACUUCGGGAAACCGGAGCUAAUACCGGAUAAUAUUUUGAACCGCAUGGUUCAAAAGUGAAAGACGGUCUUGCUGUCACUUAUAGAUGGAUCCGGGCUGCAUUAGCUAGUUGGUAAGGUAACGGCUUACCAAGGCAACGAUGCAUAGCCGACCUGAGAGGGUGAUCGGCCACCCUGGAGCUGAGACACCGUCCAGACUCCUACGGGACGCAGCAGUAGGGAAUCUUCCGCAAUGGGCGAAAGCCUGACGGAGCAACGCCGCGUGAGUUAUGAAGGUCUUCGGAUCGUAAAACUCUGUUAUUAGGGAAGAACAUAUGUGUAAGUAACUGUGCACAUCUUGACGGUACCUAAUCAGAAAGCCACGGCUAACUACGUG
rnacentral:rRNA from 1 species